UACGAAGGGGGCUAGCGUUGCUCGGAAUCACUGGGCGUAAAGCGCACGUAGGCGGCUUACUAAGUCAGGGGUGAAAUCCUGGAGCUCAACUCCGAAACUGCAUUCGAUACUGCCGUGCUUGAGGACUGGAGAGGAGACUGGAAUUUACGGUGUAGCGGUGAAAUGCGUAGAUAUCGUAAGGAAGACCAGUGGCGAAGGCGGGUCUCUGGACAGUACCUGACGCUGAGGCACGAAGGCCAGGGGAGCAAACGGG
rnacentral:rRNA from 1 species